rnacentral:rRNA from 1 species
UCCGUAGGUGAACCUGCGGAGGGAUCAUUACCGAGUGGAGGGCCCUCGCGGGCCCGACCUCCCACCCCGUGUCGUAUCGACUCAGUUGCCUCGGGGGCGACCCGGCCUUUGGGCGGCGGGGCCCCCGGCGGACACCUAUCAAACUCGUGCAUCCUUUGCGUCGGAGUGAAUGAUAUAAAUCAAUCAAAACUUUCAACAACGGAUCUCUUGGUUCUGGCAUCGAUGAAGAACGCAGCGAAAUGCGAUAAGUAAUGUGAAUUGCAGAAUUCAGUGAAUCAUCGAAUCUUUGAACGCACAUUGCGCCCCCUGGCAUUCCGGGGGGCAUGCCUGUUCGAGCGUCAUUACACCACUCAAGCCUCGCUUGGUAUUGGGCGCCGCGGUCUCCCCGCGCGCCCUAAUGUCUGCCGGCUGAGCCGUCCGUCUCUAAGCGUUGUGGUACACAGUCCGCUUGCGAGGCCCGGGCGGUUCGACGCCGUCAAACCCCUUCUUCUAAAGGUUGACCUCGGAUCAGGUAGGGAUACCCGCUGAACUUAAGCAUAUCAAUAAGCGGAGGA